rnacentral:snRNA from 1 species
CAAACAAACAAACUGGAGUGAUACACAGAAGGUUAGCAUGGUCUCUGGGUAAGGAUGGCACACAAGUUUAUGAAGUGGUCCGUCUUUAA